rnacentral:rRNA from 1 species
AGUGAACGCUGGCGGUAGGCCUAACACAUGCAAGUCGAACGGCAGCACAGUAAGAGCUUGCUCUUACGGGUGGCGAGUGGCGGACGGGUGAGGAAUACAUCGGAAUCUACUUUUUCGUGGGGGAUAACGUAGGGAAACUUACGCUAAUACCGCAUACGACCUACGGGUGAAAGCAGGGGAUCUUCGGACCUUGCGCGAUUGAAUGAGCCGAUGUCGGAUUAGCUAGUUGGCGGGGUAAAGGCCCACCAAGGCGACGAUCCGUAGCUGGUCUGAGAGGAUGAAACACCACAAGUGAACCUGAGACGCGGCCCAGCCUCCAAGGGAGGGAGGCGGGGGGGAAGUUUGAAAAAUGGGCGCAGGCUGCACCAAGCCUUCCCGGGGGGGGAAAGAAGGCUUCGGGGUUGAAAGCCCUUUUUGUGGGGAAAAAAAGGCAGAGGUUUAAUCCCCCGCUGUUUUGAGGUUACCCGAAGAAUAGGCACCGGCUAAUUUCGU